AAACAGCCCAGACCAUCAGCUAAGGUCCCCAAGUAUACGUUAAGUGGAAAAGGAUGUGGAGUUGCCCAGACAACCAGGAUGUUGGCUUAGAAGCAGCCAUCAUUGAAAGAGUGCGUAAUAGCUCACUGGUCGAGUGACUCUGCGCCGAAAAUGUACCGGGGCUAAACGUAUCACCGAAGCUAUGGCAAUCCCGUAUGGGAUU
rnacentral:rRNA from 1 species